CACGGGGGGAGCAAGCGUUGUUCGGAUUCAUUGGGCGUAAAGGGCUCGUAGGUGGCUUUGUAAGUCGGAGGUGAAAUCCCAUGGCUCAACCAUGGACACGCCUUCGAAACUGUGAAGCUUGAGGCUGGGAGAGGAAAUCGGAAUUCCUGGUGUAGCGGUGAAAUGCGUAGAUAUCAGGAGGAACACCAAUAGCGAAGGCAGCUCGCUGGGACGUUACUGACACUGAGGCGCGAAAGCGUGGGGAGCAAACGGG
rnacentral:rRNA from 1 species